rnacentral:rRNA from 2 species
AUGCAGUCGAGCGAACAGAUGAGAAGCUUGCUUCUCUGAUGUUAGCGGCGGACGGGUGAGUAACACGUGGGUAACCUACCUAUAAGACUGGGAUAACUCCGGGAAACCGGGGCUAAUACCGGAUAAUAUUUUGAACCGCAUGGUUCAAUAGUGAAAGACGGUUUCGGCUGUCACUUAUAGAUGGACCCGCGCCGUAUUAGCUAGUUGGUAAGGUAACGGCUUACCAAGGCGACGAUACGUAGCCGACCUGAGAGGGUGAUCGGCCACACUGGAACUGAGACACGGUCCAGACUCCUACGGGAGGCAGCAGUAGGGAAUCUUCCGCAAUGGGCGAAAGCCUGACGGAGCAACGCCGCGUGAGUGAUGAAGGUCUUCGGAUCGUAAAACUCUGUUGUUAGGGAAGAACAAAUUUGUUAGUAACUGAACAAGUCUUGACGGUACCUAACCAGAAAGCCACGGCUAACUACGUGCCAGCAGCCGCGGUAAUACGUAGGUGGCAAGCGUUAUCCGGAAUUAUUGGGCGUAAAGCGCGCGUAGGCGGUUUCUUAAGUCUGAUGUGAAAGCCCACGGCUCAACCGUGGAGGGUCAUUGGAAACUGGGAAACUUGAGUGCAGAAGAGGAGAGUGGAAUUCCAUGUGUAGCGGUGAAAUGCGCAGAGAUAUGGAGGAACACCAGUGGCGAAGGCGGCUCUCUGGUCUGUAACUGACGCUGAUGUGCGAAAGCGUGGGGAUCAAACAGGAUUAGAUACCCUGGUAGUCCACGCCGUAAACGAUGAGUGCUAAGUGUUAGGGGGUUUCCGCCCCUUAGUGCUGCAGCUAACGCAUUAAGCACUCCGCCUGGGGAGUACGACCGCAAGGUUGAAACUCAAAGGAAUUGACGGGGACCCGCACAAGCGGUGGAGCAUGUGGUUUAAUUCGAAGCAACGCGAAGAACCUUACCAAAUCUUGACAUCCUUUGACCGCUCUAGAGAUAGAGUCUUCCCCUUCGGGGGACAAAGUGACAGGUGGUGCAUGGUUGUCGUCAGCUCGUGUCGUGAGAUGUUGGGUUAAGUCCCGCAACGAGCGCAACCCUUAAGCUUAGUUGCCAUCAUUAAGUUGGGCACUCUAGGUUGACUGCCGGUGACAAACCGGAGGAAGGUGGGGAUGACGUCAAAUCAUCAUGCCCCUUAUGAUUUGGGCUACACACGUGCUACAAUGGAUAAUACAAAGGGCAGCGAAUCCGCGAGGCCAAGCAAAUCCCAUAAAAUUAUUCUCAGUUCGGAUUGUAGUCUGCAACUCGACUACAUGAAGCUGGAAUCGCUAGUAAUCGUAGAUCAGCAUGCUACGGUGAAUACGUUCCCGGGUCUUGUACACACCGCCCGUCACACCACGAGAGUUUGUAACACCCGAAGCCGGUGGAGUAACCUUUUAGGAGCUAGCCGUCG